rnacentral:tRNA from 1 species
AGGUAUAGCUCAAGUGGCAGAGUGCAUGCUUAGCACGCACAAAGUCCUGGGUUCAAUCCCCAGUACCU